GACGAACGCUGGCGGCGUGCCUAACACAUGCAAGUCGAACGGAACUCGGGACUUCGGUUCUGAGUUUAGUGGCGAACGGGUGAGUAACGCGUGAGGAACCUGCCUUUCAGUGGGGGACAACAGUUGGAAACGACUGCUAAUACCGCAUAAUGUAUCGAAGGGGCAUCCCUUUGAUACCAAAGCUUUAUGUGCUGAAAGAUGGCCUCGCGUCUGAUUAGAUAGUUGGUGAGGUAACGGCUCACCAAGUCUGCGAUCAGUAGCCGGUCUGAGAGGAUGAACGGCCACAUUGGGACUGAGAUACGGCCCAGACUCCUACGGGAGGCAGCAGUGGGGAAUAUUGGGCAAUGGGGGAAACCCUGACGCAGCGACGCCGCGUGAAGGAAGAAGGUUUUCGGAUCGUAAACUUUUGUCAUCGGGGACGAGAAUGGACGGUACCCGAGAAGGAAGCCACGGCUAACUACGUG
rnacentral:rRNA from 1 species